AACGAACGCUGGCGACAUGCCUAACACAUGCAAGUCGAACGAGACCUUCGGGUCUAGUGGCGCACGGGUGCGUAACGCGUGGGAAUCUGCCCUUGGGUUCGGAACAACAGUUGGAAACGACUGCUAAUACCGGAUGAUGACUUCGGUCCAAAGAUUUAUCGCCCAAGGAUGAGCCCGCGUCGGAUUAGCUAGUUGGUGAGGUAAAAGCUCACCAAGGCGACGAUCCGUAGCUGGUCUGAGAGGGUGAUCAGCCACACUGGGACUGAGACACGGCCCAGACUCCUACGGGAGGCAGCAGUGGGGAAUAUUGGACAAUGGGCGAAAGCCUGAUCCAGCAAUGCCGCGUGAGUGAUGAAGGCCUUAGGGUUGUAAAGCUCUUUUACCCGGGAUGAUAAUGACAGUACCGGGAGAAUAAGCCCCGGCUAACUCCGUGCCAGCCGCCGCCGUAAAAC
rnacentral:rRNA from 1 species